UACGAAGGGGGCUAGCGUUGUUCGGAAUUAUUGGGCGUAAAGAGCUCGUAGGCGGUGUGUCGCGUCGGUCGUGAAAACUUGGGGCUUAACCCUGAGCUUGCGGUCGAUACGGGCAUCACUGGAGUUCGGCAGGGGAGACUGGAAUACCUGGUGUAGCGGUGAAAUGCGCAGAUAUCAGGUGGAACACCGAUGGCGAAGGCAGUGUUCUGGGCCAGUACUGACGCUGAGGAGCGAAAGCGUGGGGAGCAAACAGG
rnacentral:rRNA from 1 species